UACAGAGGGUGCAAGCGUUAAUCGGAAUUACUGGGCGUAAAGCGUGCGUAGACGGUUACAUAAGUCGGAUGUGAAAGCCCCGGGCUCAACCUGGGAAUUGCAUUCGAGACUGCGUAGCUAGGGUGCGGAAGAGGGAAGCGGAAUUUCCGGUGUAGCGGUGAAAUGCGUAGAUAUCGGAAGGAACACCAGUGGCGAAAGCGGUUACCUGGGCUUGUUCUGACGCUGAGGCACAAAAGCUGGGGGAGCAAACGGG
rnacentral:rRNA from 1 species